rnacentral:rRNA from 1 species
AUUGAACGCUGGCGGCAUGCCUUACACAUGCAAGUCGAACGGUAACAGGUCUUCGGAUGCUGACGAGUGGCGAACGGGUGAGUAAUGCAUCGGAACGUGCCCAGUAGUGGGGGAUAGCCCGGCGAAAGCCGGACUAAUACCGCAUACGACCUGAGGGUGAAAGCGGGGGCUCGCAAGACCUCGCGCCAUUCGAGCGGCCGAUGUCGGAUUAGCUAGUUGGUGGGGUAAAGGCCCACCAAGGCGACGAUCCGUAGCUGGUCUGAGAGGACGACCAGCCACACUGGGACUGAGACACGGCCCAGACUCCUACGGGAGGCAGCAGUGGGGAAUUUUGGACAAUGGACGCAAGUCUGAUCCAGCCAUGCCGCGUGCGGGAAGAAGGCCUUCGGGUUGUAAACCGCUUUUGUCAGGGAAGAAAUCUUCUGGGUUAAUACCUCGGGAGGAUGACGGUACCUGAAGAAUAAGCACCGGCUAACUACGUGCCAGCCGCCGCGGUAAUAC